UACGGGGGGAGCAAGCGUUGUUCGGAUUUACUGGGCGUAAAGGGCGCGUAGGCGGCCCGUCAAGUCCCGUGUGAAAGCCCCCGGCUCAACCGGGGAACUGCACGGGAAACUAGCAGGCUUGAGUUCGGGAGAGGGAAGCGGAAUUUCGGGUGUAGCGGUGAAAUGCGCAGAUAUCCGAAGGAACACCGGUGGCGAAGGCGGCUUCCUGGACCGACACUGACGCUGAGGCGCGAAAGCUAGGGGAGCAAACGGG
rnacentral:rRNA from 1 species